rnacentral:rRNA from 1 species
AGUGAACGCUGGCGGUAGGCCUAACACAUGCAAGUCGAACGGCAGCACAGUAAGAGCUUGCUCUUACGGGUGGCGAGUGGCGGACGGGUGAGGAAUACAUCGGAAUCUACUUUUUCGUGGGGGAUAACGUAGGGAAACUUACGCUAAUACCGCAUACGACCUACGGGUGAAAGCAGGGGAUCUUCGCACCUUGCGCGAUUGAAUGAGCCGAUGUCGGAUUAGCUAGUUGGCGGGGUAAAGUCCCACCAAGGCGACGACCCGUAGCUGGUCUGAGAGGAUGAGCGGCCACACUGGAACUGAGACACGGUCCAGACUCCUACGGGAGGCAGCAGUGGGGAAUAUUGGACAAUGGGCGCAAGCCUGAUCCAGCCAUACCGCGUGGGUGAAGAAGGCCUUCGGGUUGUAAAGCCCUUUUGUUGGGAAAGAAAAGCAGCAGGUUAAUACCCCGCUGUUCUGACGGUACCCAAAGAAUAAGCACCGGCUAACUUCGUG